rnacentral:rRNA from 1 species
CUGUGAACUGUGUCACUUCGUGGCGCGGUAGAGGAGCAUUCUCUAUAGGUUGAAGUCAAUUCGUGAGAAUUGGUGGACAGUAGAGAAGAGCGAAUGCCGGUAUAAGUAGCGAAAGACGGGCGAGAAACCCGUCCGCCGUAUGUCUAAGGUUUCCUGAGGAAGGUUAAUCCGCUCAGGGUCAGCCGGGCCUAAGCUGAGGGGGAAACCCGUAGGCGAUGGACAACUGGUUAAUAUUCCAGUGCCACCAGAUUGUGUUAUGAGCAAAGGGGCGACGCAGGAGGGUAGACCAUCGCGGUGAUGGUUGUCUGCGUUCAAGCACGUAGGGUGCUACCUAGGCAAAUCCGGGUAGUAUCAAGCCCAAGGUGCGAUGACGAGCCGCUUUAGGUGAAGUGGUUAAUCCCACACUGCCGAGAAAAACCUCUAGCCAGCAAUUCUGGUGCCCGUACUAAAACCGACACAGGUAGACAGGGAGAGGAUCCUAAGGCGAUCGAGAGAACUCUCGUUAAGGAACUCGGCAAAAUGACCCCGUAACCUCGGGAGAAGGGGUGCCCCGUUAGGGUGACCUCGCCUUUUGGCCGGGUGAGCACGAGGGGGUCGCAGUGAAAUGGCCCAGGCGACUGUUUACUAAAAACACAGGUCUCUGCUAAGUCGUAAGACGACGUAUAGGGGCUGACGCCUGCCCGGUGCCGGAAGGUCACAGGGAGAUGUUAUUUUCCCGCCUCUGGCGGGAGGAGAAGCAUUGAACUUAAGCCCCGGUAAACGGCGGCCGUAACUAUAACGGUCCUAAGGUAGCGAAAUUCCUUGUCGGNNGAAAUUCCUUGUCGGGUAAGUUCCGACCUGCACGAAUGGCGUAACGACUUGGGCGCUGUCUCAACGAGAGACUCGGCGAAAUUGAAAUACCUGUGAAGAUGCAGGUUACCCGCGACAAGACGGAAAGACCCCGUGAACCUUUACUGUAGCUUGGCAUUGGAUUUUGGUAUGUUCUGUGUAGGAUAGGUGGGAGGCUGUGAAGCUCCGACGCUAGUCGGGGUGGAGCCAUCCUUGAAAUACCACCCUGAAUGUGCUGGGAUUCUAACCCGUGGCCAUAAUCAGGCCAGGGGACAGUGCCAGGCGGGCAGUUUGACUGGGGCGGUCGCCUCCCAAAGAGUAACGGAGGCGCGCAAAGGUUCCCUCAGCACGGUUGGAAAUCGUGCGUCGAGUGCAAGGGCAGAAGGGAGCUUGACUGCGAGACCUACAAGUCGAGCAGAGACGAAAGUCGGACCUAGUGAUCCGGCGGUUCAGUGUGGAAGGGCCGUCGCUCAACGGAUAAAAGGUACUCCGGGGAUAACAGGCUUAUCUUGCCCAAGAGUUCACAUCGACGGCAAGGUUUGGCACCUCGA